CUUUACAAUAACACGCUAACGGUGCCUCGACCAUUAAAAAUUCAGGUUGUUAAAUUAUGAUAAGAAUAAGUACCACACUGUCAUCCAUGAAUUGGUUAUUGUCAGCAUACGUACAUAUGUUGAUUCGGCAGCAGGCAUUUGUCAUAUACAUAAGCACAGUGUACGAGCGGCACCUGCCAGACGGUUAAACAGGUGAACUUGUCUGCUCACGGUGCAGCUUUUGUAGAAAUCUCCAGUAAGCAGUAUGAAGCUGGUCGGUUUGAUAGUAGUGGUUCUAGCUGUCACGUACAGCCAGGCCGCCCACUUAACCAGCCACAGUUCCUAUCCUGGACACUACCCCGGUUACUAUCCCGGCUACUACCCCCCGAAGUACCCGUCAUAUUCGUCCUACCCUAAACCUUACUACGGCCUCAGCUACAACCCGUACUUCAAAGGCUACCCAGACUACGCGGACGCCUACAAGAGAAACUACCAAUACGCCGGAUACAUCGGAUAUCCUGGAUAUGGCUACGGAUACCCAGGUUAUGGGGGUGGAUACAAAUACCCUUCUCCGUACGGAUACCCUCACCGUUAUCAUGGAUAGAUGCUUCCAUUACUUUUUAAGGCGAAUAUUUUAAGUCUUAGUCAACAAGUGCAACUCCUUGGAGCAGCUCUGGUUGAAGUCUCAGUGAACUGUGACGGAAAAUUAUGAACUUUGAGGUGUCAGUGAAGUUUAAGCGUUGACGGUCCAUUUUGCUACAGUCAAGAGAAACUGCCGAAUAAAACGUGUCUAUAUGGGCGUUGUAUAGUUACAUGGAGUAACCGCUUCUAACACUUCUACUUGUACAUGAAUACUGUGGAAAGCGCAUGCUGGCUAUAUGUAUUUGAAGUCGGACACAUAUCUUCUCCUCGAAGUAAAGUAUUUUUGUACCACAAACAUACUCCAAAUUGCAUUCGCUUACAUCAUGCUUAAAUAUUGAAUUUAACAAAAAUGAGCCAAAGAGUUCUGCAAUGAAAGUUACACAGAGGUGAAUGAAUUACUGAUAGGAAACAUUUGCUUUCCAAAAUUGCCAUAUAAGUCAUGCAUUUUUGCUCUGUGGUUCUACAUUUGUAAUAAGUUAUCUUGCUGGACCAAAGACGUUGAACAUAGAGGUAACAAUAAACAUCCGAAAAUUGA